UACAGAGGGUGCAAGCGUUAAUCGGAAUGACUGGGCGUAAAGGGCACGUAGGCGGAUAGAUGUGUCAUAGGUGAAAUCCCCGGGCUCAACCUGGGAACUGCCUGUGAAACUGUGUAUCUAGAAUAUAGGAGAGGGAAGUGGAAUUUCCGGUGUAGCGGUGAAAUGCGUAGAUAUCGGAAAGAACACCAGUGGCGAAGGCGGUUUUCUAGCUUUUUCCUGACGCUGAGGCGCGAAAGCAAGGGGAU
rnacentral:rRNA from 1 species